GUGCUCGCUUCAGCAGCACAUAUACUAAAAUUGGAACGAUACAGAGAGGAUUAGCAUGGCCCCUGCGCAAGAUACUGAGCAGUGUCAGGAUCAUACGAGGUCU